rnacentral:lncRNA from 1 species
GUACUGAAAUCUUUGAGGGGGUUUAGAGCAGCUGCUCCACCACAUUGAACUCACUUUUCUUUAUCAGCCUAAGCACUUCAUCAUCAUCGUUAGUCUUCAAAUUGCUGGAUUCACCAGACUGACGCUUUGAAGUACUAACUAGAUCUACUGCAGGCACUUCUACCUUCUUACCAACUGUUGAAUCUUCCACAUCUUUUUGGAAUAUCGGCCCAAACACUCGACCACUGCGGGUCACCUUGGUAACAUCAACAAU